rnacentral:rRNA from 1 species
UACAGAGGGUGCGAGCGUUGUCCGGAAUCACUGGGCGUAAAGGGCGCGUAGGCGGCCGAUCAAGUCGGGGGUGAAAGCCUGUGGCUCAACCACAGAAUUGCCUUCGAUACUGUUUGGCUUGAGACCGGAAGAGGUAAGUGGAACUGCGAGUGUAGAGGUGAAAUUCGUAGAUAUUCGCAAGAACACCAGUGGCGAAGGCGGCUUACUGGUCCGGUUCUGACGCUGAGGCGCGAAAGCGUGGGGAGCAAACAGG